CCACCCUCAUAGGGAGGAGCCCAAGCUCCUCACCCCAUCCCUGCAUCCCUGCAUCCCACAGCUCCUCCAUCCAACCCCUUCCCAUGUUCCACCUUCACCAUGAGCUUCCCUGUAUCCCACCCAACCCAUCCCGGAGGCAGGAGUUGGGAUAAGGGAUUCCCUCUCGCUGCAGACCCCUCUGCAUCCAUCUGGCCCCAUCCCAUCACUCAUCCCAUCGCUCAUCCCAUCACUCAUCCCAUCGCUCAUCCCAUCGCUCAUCCCAUUGCUCAUCCCAUCGCUCAUCCCAUCGCUCAUCCCAUUGCUCAUCCCAUCGCUCAUCCCAUCACUCAUCCCAGCUCACAGCAGGGAUGGAGCAGGGACCUUGUGUCCUGGCAGCUCCAGAACCUGAAGCACACAGAGAUGGGAGCGGAGAUGGUUUCACCCCAUCCACCUCUGCAGCCACAAUGGGACACAGCAGAGCCCAGCCCCACACCGAGGCCCCAGCAGCACUGGGGGGUCCCACAGCAGCCCCUGCUCUGCCCCCCGGACCCCCACCUGUGGGUGGGUGAACUCCCUGCCCCGCUCCCCAUGGCUCCCCUGCAUCAGGGGCUCAGCACCUCCUCCUCCUGCCCCAUAAGCAGCACUGGGCAGGUCCUGCCUGCACUGGGAUCCAGCAGCGCCUCAGAACCGAGCCUGGGCUCCCAGCAAUGGGGACAGCAGCUCCGUGCCCCCCAGGCUGAUCCUGGGCUAUCCCAGCACCAAACACUGUCCAUAGGGCUAAGGCAAUGGAGACAGCCUUAUCCCUGCAGCUCCAGGGCUGGAGCCCUCUCAGAGGGAUGCAGAUCCAAUGGGAAGCAUUGGGAACAGCAGGAGGAAGGAGGUAGCAGUGUAAGAGGGACAGCAGGAGCGAGCUCUCCCACCGGCCUGCACAGCAUCCCGGAUGAUCCAACCCUCAGAGCUCCGGCUGCGAGCACCGGAUCCCUAUGGAGCUGUGCACAAGUGAGCCAGACAUGGAUCCAGAGCAGCUCAUCCCUAUGGAGCAGCUCAUCCCUUUGGAACCUCAUCCCCUGUCUGUGUCCCAUCCAGACCCGGGUGCANNNNNNNN
rnacentral:lncRNA from 14 species